AUGGUACAGGAGCGAGCCCAACUGCAGGAUGGUGCCUGGGAGCCCAAGAACCAUCUGGGUUUCGGAGACAGUUGGAGCAGUGGGAGUGAGCGGGAGCCCAGCCAGAGCGCCGGGAGUUCGUCUGCAUCUAAUCUAGGAAUCAACACAUGUGGUGAUGGUAACCAUUCAGAACAAAGUGACGCAGCCUUAGAUUUCAAGCUGGCCUGGUACCUGCCUCCCUGGGGUGUUGGAAGCAUGAGUAAGACACGCGAACAAGUCAUGAGCACUUCAACAAAACCGCGACGUCUGUACUUCCCCAUGAAGCCCUCAGCCAGCCUGGCUCACUUGCUUCAGCUUUGGUGUCCCCACCAACCACUUGCCACCAAGUCCGUCCUCACUGAAGAUUUACAUAGCCCAUGGCCAAAUUGUUAUUUUAAUUAACAAGCACUCCUAAAGGCUUUUACUCUUAUUUUGGUUAAAGAGAACUCGUAAUUAAAGGAAGUAUACUUCUUAUCCUUGACAAAUCGUUGUGAAUUCUUGUGGCACUCCCUGUGAUAACAUCUAUCCAGAUGAAUGUGUUUGCCUUUAAUGCAAGUGUCAUGUAUAAUUUGGGAGAAAUUCUAUUGUCAUUGAGCGUUAAUGACUGCCCACUUUCUGUAAAGUGCUCAGAGACACCAGCAGCAGCCGGAUUUGUAAACCACAGAGAGAAGAUGGGAGAACUGGGCAAAGAGGCAGGAACUGCUGCCCGGACAAGGGGCAAGGGGGUCGGGCAGACCCCUCCUGCGGGGAGGGCAGGACAGCGAUGCUUCCGGAGGCAGGUCUCCACCCCCAGGCCUGGAACACUCGCAGCUGGAGAUACCCACACAGCCCGGCCCUCUGCCUUAACUUCGACCACGCUCUUGACCUCUCCUCCAGGCUGCAGCUGCCGUGGAUGUCUGUUUUGACCGUGGUUUCACCUGGCCGCACACAUCGGCUGAGGGCCCUGGGAGCCUGAAGUGUGAUACGCUUAGAGCCCUGCAGCCCCACUGCCCAGCCCUGUCCCUCUGCAGCCCACCCUGGAGGAGAAGGCUGCCCAAGAGGCCUGGCAGGUGCCGCUGCAGAAGUUGGCUCCUGGGCAGCUGUUACGUCAUGCCUGUUUGUUAACACUCUCAGUUUUCUUCAAAUGACUCAUCCAGAAAGGAGUGGGGUCAGGGGGUGAGCAGAGCUGUUUGGGGUGAAGACACAGCGUGUGUCCGCUUACAGCGGGCACCGCGGGCUGCAAACUGCAACAGCUGGAGGCCUGGGUCUGGCCUCUGAGCCAUGUGAUUGCACCUCAGUGUCCUCAUCUGUAAAAGGGGUCGUUUUCCGCAUCUGACAGAUCCGUCUUUUUAACUGGGAGGAAGUGUUGUGUCCACGUGUGGAGCUUAGUAGUUACCACCUUAAUGUCAGGAAGUCGUGACAAUGAGUGUUUCUCUUUGCUUUGUGUCCCCACCUCAGCCUGUGCUCCCAGGGCUUGGAGGUGGGCCUUUCUGCCCGAGGAGGGGCAGCUCUGAGCACAGGACCGGGGAGCCCAGUCACAGAACCACACAGAAGCAGCUCUGACCUCCUGGUCCACAUCCUGGAACAGUUAACACACAGUGAGCUGAGAGUCGCUUCUGUUGUUGUGAGGAAGAGGUGUCUGGAUACCUAGUUUUUCCUGCGGUGGGUGGACCUGACCAUGGGUAGAUCUGCCGUGAUGGGUGACAUGCUGGCUGGUCCGUCUCGUGUGUCACUUACAGAGAUGCAGGUGCGUGAUUUCAGCAGACUCAGAUUCCCGUUAGAGAUGCACGACGCAGGUUUUCCUGAACUCUGUUUAAUCUUUCUCCGAUGAUUAAAAAGCCUUUCAGAAUCAUCAGUGUUUCUGUGGGAGCGGCCCUUUUUGUUGCAUCCCAAGUCUAAGAAGCGGUGGAGAGCAGAGAGCCCGGCUGGGAGCACCCCUGGACUCGCCAUGCCGGCCUCUCAGUUCCCCAGGGCCCUAAGGCCGCACUGCUCACGUUUCCAAGAGACCGAGAGGAGCCGAGGAAAGACUGAGCACAGACAAGUCUGAAGGGCGUCUCAACUGUCCUGUCGAGGGCCGCUGCCUGUGAACACAAGCCCUGGAGCCCAGGCUCACCGGAGCCCUGCCCCUUCCGGGGGCCGCCCUCCUGUGGGGACCCAGGCCCGGGGCGCCCGCAGCAGCCCUUCAGUUCGCAGUGCGGUGAUUUCCUCUGUCUCGUGAUUUAACCUGCCCACAUCGCUGAACCUCUACAUUACACGUCUGUGUCAGGACGUCAGAAGAAACGAGAAGCCUCCUUGAAACAGCAACCUCUAUUUCACGCUAAGAAUGUCUUCUUAGCCCACCCCCACC
rnacentral:lncRNA from 1 species